rnacentral:tRNA from 1 species
GGGCGGAUGGCGGAAUUGGUAGACGCACCGCACUCAAAAUGCGGCGCUGAAAGGCUUGCGAGUUCGAGUCUCGCUCCGCCCA